UACUCGAGUGGCGAACGGGUGAGUAACACGUGGGUGAUCUGCCCUGCACUUCGGGAUAAGCUUGGGAAACUGGGUCUAAUACCGGAUAGGAGCCAUCUUUAGUGUGGUGGUUGGUAAAGUUUUUUCGGUGUAGGAUGAGCUCGCGGCCUAUCAGCUUGUUGGUGGGGUAAUGGCCUACCAAGGCGGCGACGGGUAGCCGGCCUGAGAGGGUGUACGGCCGCAUUGGGACUGAGAUACGGCCCAG
rnacentral:rRNA from 1 species